AGGGAGGGCAGGCUGCCCCAGGCCCUGCCCCCUCCAGGAAGCCUUCUUGCUCCAGCCCAACACACGAUCUCACUUGUCCUCGGAUGUUCAUCAUGUGAUCUUUUAUCAACACAACUGUGGCAGGGCCCUUGCUAACUUGCUCCCAUGUGAACCUGUGCUUGCCUACGUGUGGUAUGGCAGAAAUGCCGUGAACGCUUCUGACCUUGUCUUCUCAUUUUUAGGCAGGUGAUGUGACGACACUGAAUUGGUCCGGAACCCUGCCUGUGCUCCAUGCCAGCUACCAGUCCUAGGUUGGCACAUUCCAUUGGGGACAUCCAUGGGAGAGCUAUGGCCAUUAACAAGUCCUGAGACCUGAUCUGAUGCCAUCAGUGGCCCAGGUGAGUGUCUGCCCUUGGGAUUUAUACUUAGUUCCUUUAUAGCUUGGAGCAGGGAUCGGGUUUUCCCAGGGACAAGGGGUCCAGAAGUUGUGUAGAAAAUGCACAGAAUGGGGUUGAAGGCACACGUCCCAGCCCUGCACACACACACACACACACACCCCACGCCCCAGUGCCGCCAUCUGCGACAGCUUCGUUUUCUCUAACACUCAAAAAUACAUGGUUCUGCUCCACUCUCCUUGGCAGGCAGGGUAGCCAGAGCUGUGGGGCUGCCAAGGCCUGGGGGAGCCGCCAGCCUGCAAAGUUUACUGUACAAACAGUUGGGGUGGGGGGUGCCACUCUGUUAACUCAAAAUCCUCAUCAGUAAACAUGCCAGUUUAAAGUGGAAUUAACUCAGGCCGGAAAAGAAUUCUGAUUUGGACUGCUUUCACAGUUGAGGUUGUUUUUCUUUUAUUUAUUUAUCUCUUUCCGGGUGUGGUGGUGUCUGUGGAGGGUUUUAGCCAGGAAAAAUAGAAAUGGGGAGGGCUUGGUGGGAUGAGCCAGUUGGGGGCUGAGAAUGCUGGCAGGGAGGGGCAAGGGGAGAUGGGCUUGCCACAGGAAGCCUGGGGUCUUCAUCUGUUUCCUGUCCUGCGCGGUGCCUGUGGCUCCUUGCAGAUGGAGGGACUAUGCUAGAAGGUGUGCCAAGGCCACUUACUGAGAGAGGGCCACAGGUAGCUCAGGGAUUAUAGGGUUCUGGGGUGACUCAGAGAAACUUGGGGCUCCCUCUAAUGUCUCCUUGCUUCUGUCUCACAGCAGCUGCUCUACUGCCUCUCUUCCUGGAUCUCCUGCUUAUGACAACUGACAACAAAGAUAUUUGACUCCGGAAGAUGCUCCCCACAGCUCACCUGAGAGGACUAUCCAGUACCCCACCCCCACCCCCACUGUGCCCUGUGCCAUCCACCUCUGAGUCCCCAACUUUAAGUAGACCCUGCUUCUCACCCAUGUCCCAAUUCCCACCAGGAGCCUUGCAUUUCAGAUCUGAGCAGCCCUGGCUUAGAAUCCUGAAGUGGGGGUGGGUAGGCAGACCCCCGGGGACUGAGCAGGGAGGGGAAGGGGGUUCUGCUCUUGGCUUUCCAAGUUCUCGGUAUGUAUAGCCCUUUGAAUAAUAAACAUAUAUCAUAUAAUGU
rnacentral:lncRNA from 1 species